CACACGAAACUGUCAACCGUCACUUUGGAAAUGGAAGCAUUUCCAGCAAAGCUUUCCCAACUGCGAAGGAAGCAUCCAGGCUCCUUCAUGGCCCUGCCCAGAGUGGUGGCCCACGGGGAAUUUCCCAGGAAAGCGUGAAAGCGUCUAAUGCUUUUGUGACACAAUCAGGUCAAACAUGAUAAGAAAUUGUUCCUCGAGAUCUGAGGAUGAAGGACAAGUUUCUAAAACACCUUACAGGUAAGUUUUCUCCUCGUUCCUCACCUCUCCCAGAGCUCCUUUUCACCUGUGAGUCUUCAUGAUCUGUUUCUUCUUCCGUGUUCCAGGCCCUCUUUAUUUUAGUCCAAAGUGCAGCAAACACUUCCAUAGACUUUAUCACAACACCAGAGACUGCACCAUUCCUGCAUGUAAGUAACAGCAUUGGAUUUUUAUAAAAUGCAAGAGCAGUGCAGGCAGCGGUUCCCCUCUUUCCAUUUCCUCAUACAGGCCCCUGCCUUCUUAGCUCAAAUUUGCCUAUUCCUUCCUCACUAUGGAGUUAGGGGCCAAGAUCGCCAGACCAUUGCAGAAGAUAACUAACUUCCGCAUCAGCUA
rnacentral:sRNA from 1 species